CUGGGCGUAGCUCAACUGGGAGAGCACGCGCUUCGGAAGCGCGGAGGUGCUGGUUCGACUCCAGCUGCCCAGA
rnacentral:tRNA from 1 species